rnacentral:rRNA from 1 species
UCGAGAAUUUUUCUCAAUGGGGGAAACCCUGAAGGAGCGACGCCGCGUGGAGGAUGAAGGUCUUCGGGUUGUAAACUCCUGUCAUUUGGGAACAAGUGCCGGUAAGUAACUACUACCGGCUUGAUAGUACCAGAAGAGGAAGGGACGGCUAACUCUGUGCCAGCAGCCGCGGUAAUACAGAGGUCCCAAGCGUUGUUCGGAUUCAUUGGGCGUAAAGGGUGCGUAGGUGGCGCGGUAAGUCGGGUGUGAAAUUUCGGAGCUUAACUCCGAAACUGCAUUCGAUACUGCCGUGCUUGAGGACUGGAGAGGAGACUGGAAUUUACGGUGUAGCAGUGAAAUGCGUAGAGAUCGUAAGGAAGACCAGUGGCGAAGGCGGGUCUCUGGACAGUUCCUGACACUGAGGCACGAAGGCCAGGGGAGCAAACGGGAUUAGAUACCCCUGUAGUCC